GACGUAGGGCGCGAGCGUUGUCCGGAUUUAUUGGGCGUAAAGAGCUCGUAGGCGGCUUGUUGCGUCGGCUGUGAAAACCCGCGGCUUAACCGUGGGCUUGCAGCCGAUACGGGCAGGCUAGAGUUCGGUAGGGGAGACUGGAAUUCCCGGUGUAGCGGUGAAAUGCGCAGAUAUCGGGAGGAACACCUAUGGCGAAGGCAGCUCGCUGGGACGUUACUGACGCUGAGACGCGAAAGCGUGGGGAGCAAACAGG
rnacentral:rRNA from 1 species